rnacentral:piRNA from 1 species
UCUGGAGUUUUUCUUCGAUCG